GGGCAUUUGAUGGUUUAAAAUUGGUUUAGAUCACGUUUAGAUGGCAUUUACGUUGAUCUAAACGUUUAGGAACCUAUUCUAAACGUGUUCUGAAUAUUUAAUUUGCGUUGAAAAGCUAAAUCAAACGAUUUCCGUACGGAAUAAAUUAGUUUCGCACAAAAUGUGUCGGACAUUUUGAAUCUUUCAUUAUGAUAAAAAAUUAGAAUUUCUUAUGAAUCUUAAAUUAUGUAAUAAAUGGUUUAGAAAAGAUAAAAGAAAUUUGUUUUUAGUAUUAUACUGUGGCUAAUGAGGCAGCUAAAAAGUCCUUCCAGUCAGUUGCAACAACAAUUAAAGCAGCAGGAAACAACCAAGUACACAUGCAAGUGGUAAAUUGAUUUUUUGUGACGUUUUUACUCCUUUAAAGUUUAAAUUUUCCUAAAAUAAUAAUUAAGUUAAUGGCUAUUUCUGUAAAGAUCAUUCUGUAAAUAAAAACUGCAGUGAUUUUUAAAACUAAUAGUUAUUUUUUUAAUAAUCACAAGAUAAACUGCAAAUUCUGUUCUUUUAGAUAUGAUUCUAAUAGUUAAACAUCUGUCAGAUGUUUACCUUUUAAAUCAUUAUCUAAUUGCUCAGGCUUAUGAAAAGUUAUUUAUAAAAAUUCAACGCUUAAAAAUAAUGUAAGAUUAAAGGUAAUUCCUGUUAUAUUUGAAAGGUACGUUGAUUAUUGGUUCGAGUCUUUAAAGUUUAAAUUAGUUAAAAGAGAAUUCAAAUUGUUCUGUUUUUAUCUUAUGCUCUAUAUCUAAAAGCUAUUGUAAUAUUUAUUGCAUUAUUUUUCAUUUAUUUUAUUAUGUUAUGAAAGACCUACCAAGCUUGAAAUUUUACUGGUUGAAAUAUAUAACAAUGAGGAUUGCAAAAGUUUUAAAUAUCAGAAACUGAAGAAGGAAUUGAUAAUUAGCAGAACAAAAAAGCGCAAAAGUACUGAUUAUACAACUCUUUUAAAGUUGAGGAAGAAUUUUAUGUGGAAUGUUAAUGCAAAAGGUACAAAUAUUGACAGUUAAACCAUCACCACCUCCACAGCCACCUUAUCUCAAGCAUUCAAUUGCAUUCUAAGUUAUCUUUAUUCAAAUCAAGUGUGACUACUAUACCAAAAGACUGUAGAAUGGGCCAAUCAACUAACCCAUCAGUACUUGCAAAGUCUUCUUUUCUGUAAGCCCGAAAUUUGAGUUCUAAAAUACCAUUAUCCACAUAACUACUAUAUCAAAGCACUAACUAAUGGAUUGAUCAA